UACGUAGGGUGCAAGCGUUGUCCGGAAUUAUUGGGCGUAAAGAGCUCGUAGGCGGUUUGUCGCGUCGGCUGUGAAAACCUGGGGCUCAACCCCGGGCCUGCAGCCGAUACGGGCAAACUAGAAUUCGGUAGGGGAGACUGGAAUUCCUGGUGUAGUGGUGAAAUGCGUAGAGAUCAGGAGGAACACCGGUGGCGAAGGCGGCCUACUGGGCCAGCACUGACGCUGAGGCGCGAAAGCUCGGGGAGCGAACGGG
rnacentral:rRNA from 1 species